rnacentral:misc_RNA from 1 species
GAUGAAGAACGCAGCGAAAUGCGAUACUUGGUGUGAAUUGCAGAAUCCCGUGAACCAUCGAGUCUUUGAACGCAAGUUGCGCCCGAAGCCAUUAGGCCGAGGGCACGCCUGCCUGGGCGUCACACGUCGUUGCCCCCCCAUCUACUCCUUCGGGAUUGCGGGGGGCGGAUGAUGGCCUCCCGUGCGCCUCGUCGCGCGGUUGGCAUAAAUGCCAAGUCCUCGGCGACGCACGCCACGACAAUCGGUGGUUGCGAAACCUCGGUUGCCCGUCGUGUGCGGUCGUCGUGCAUCGAGGGCUCGAAAAAAUUGCCGGGCUCCGGCUCGGCUUUCAACGCGACCCCAGGUCAGGCGGGGUUACCCGCUGAAUUUAAGCAUAUCAAUAAGCGGAGGA